CAGGGGGAUAACAGUUAGAAAUGACUGCUAAUACCGCAUAAGACCACAUUGCCGCAUGGCAGGGUGGUAAAAACUCCGGUGGUGUAAGAUGGGCCCGCGUCUGAUUAGGUAGUUGGCAGGGUAGAGGCCUACCAAGCCUACGAUCAGUAGCCGGCCUGAGAGGGUGGACGGCCACAUUGGGACUGAGACACGGCCCAAACUCCUACGGGAGGCAGCAGUGGGGAAUAUUGCACAAUGGGGGAAACCCUGAUGCAGCGACGCCGCGUGAGUGAGGAAGUAUUUCGGUAUGUAAAGCUCUAUCAGCAGGGAAGAAAAUGACGGUACCUGACUAAGAAGCCCCGGCUAACUACGUGCCAGCAGCCGCGGUAAUACGUAGGGGGCAAGCGUUAUCCGGAUUUACUGGGUGUAAAGGGAGCGUAGACGGAGGGGCAAGUCUGAUGUGAAAAUCCGGGGCCCAACCCCGGAACUGCAUUGGAAACUGUUUAUCUAGAGUGUCGGAGAGGCAAGUGGAAUUCCUAGUGUAGCGGUGAAAUGCGUAGAUAUUAGGAGGAACACCAGUGGCGAAGGCGGCUUGCUGGACGAUGACUGACGUUGAGGCUCGAAAGCGUGGGGAGCAAACAGGAUUAGAUACCCUGGUAGUCCACGCCGUAAACGAUGACUACUAGGUGUCGGGAGGCAAAGCCUUUCGGUGCCGCAG
rnacentral:rRNA from 1 species